rnacentral:misc_RNA from 1 species
GAUGAAGAACGCAGUGAAAUGCGAUAAGUAAUGCGAAUUGCAGAAUUCAGUGAGUCAUCGAAUCUUUGAACGCACAUUGCGCCCUGUGGUAUUCCGCAGGGCAUGCCUGUUCGAGCGUCAUUUCAACCCUCAAGCUCUGCUUGGUGUUGGGCCCUGCCCGCUGCGGCCGGCCCUAAAGACAGUGGCGGUGCCGCCUGGCCCUGAGCGUAGUACAUCUCUCGCUCCAGUGCCCGGUGGUAGCCUGCCAGAACCCCAACUCUCGUGGUUGACCUCGGAUCAGGUAGGGAUACCCGCUGAACUUAAGCAUAUCAAUAGCGAGGA